AGCGAUAUAACCUAACGGUCUCCAGUCCCGUUUCACAACGAGGCAGUAAAAACACCACACCACUGCGCCGAGUUUGCGAUCGAGAGAGAGAACGAUCUGGCGAGCUCGGGCGAGCGCAUUCGAAAACCCUCUUCCAGUGAAUCGCUCGCUCAUCGGAUUUGGGGGCAUUGAGUUUUCGGUUGGAUUUUUUUUUGCUUUCUUCCCUCCUUUUGGGGACCAGUGUGUUCAGAGCGAGGAAGACGAAGGAAGGGACAGAGCAAAGCUGCGAGGAGGUGUUAAAAAAGCCUGGCCUGUGCUCUGCUGGGCAAUGGUCCUGGCCGGCAUGCGUGUGGCUUUCAAACCCAGCACAUCAAACAGGUGAUGAAUGAUCGAUCGAAAGAGCUUUUGUCUUCCUCUUUUUUCCUCUCUUUCUUUCCCCCUUUUUUGAUUCACCGAUCCGUCUGACCGGACGAUUUCUCUGCAACCAGGGGAAUUCCUUGCAGGGAUAAGCUUUUAACGAGCCCUUGAUCGUCCGUUUUGGGUUGCCAGCAGUGUGUAAUCCUCUCUUUCUCCCUCUCGCGCGAUGGUAUCCUCCUAUCCUUCUUCGCAUUUCUACUUCGAGCACGAAAGAUCCGCGCUGCCCAUCAGCAGGGCUCGCGUCGUUUGCCCCUUUUGAGCGUAAAAAAGCG
rnacentral:lncRNA from 1 species